rnacentral:rRNA from 1 species
GGGGGGGGGGGGGGGGGGGGUGAGGGGGUGGGGGUGGGGGGGGAGGGGGGGGGGUGGGGGGGGGGGUGGAGGGGCGGGCGGGUGGGUGGCACGUGGGGAACCUGCCCUUGGCUUUGGGAUGACUUCGGGCAACUGGGGCUGCUACCGGAGAGGAGCGCCUGCUGCCUGGUGGGGGUUGGAACGUUUCGGCGGUGGGGGAUGGACGCGGGGCUUAUCAGCUUGUUGGUGGGGUAGUGGCUUACCAAGGCUUUGGCGGGUAGCCGGCCUGAGAGGGUGACCGGCCACAUUGGGACUGAGAUACGGCCCAGACUCCUACGGGAGGCAGCAGUGGGGAAUAUUGCACAAUGGGCGGAAGCCUGAUGCAGCAACGCCGCGUGCGGGAUGACGGCCUUCGGGUUGUAAACCGCUUUCGCCUGUGACGAAGCGUGAGUGACGGUAAUGGGUAAAGAAGCACCGGCUAACUACGUG